rnacentral:ncRNA from 2 species
UUCUUAUCGAGAGAGGCGGAGGGACAGGCCCGAUGAAGCCCGGCAACCGAUCCUGUACACGAACGUCGCAAGCAGACGUCGCGUCAGGGUGUCAUGGUGCUAAUUCCUACAGAAUCAACAGACGGUUCUGGCAGAUGAGAA